GAUGAACGCUGGCGGCGUGCCUAAUACAUGCAAGUCGAGCGAACAGACGAGGAGCUUGCUCCUCUGACGUUAGCGGCGGACGGGGGAGUAACACGUGGAUAACCUACCUAUAAGACUGGGAUAACUUCGGGAAACCGGAGCUAAUACCGGAUAAUAUAUUGAACCGCAUGGUUCAAUAGUGAAAGACGGUUUUGCUGUCACUUAUAGAUGGAUCCGCGCCGCAUUAGCUAGUUGGUAAGGUAACGGCUUACCAAGGCAACGAUGCGUAGCCGACCUGAGAGGGUGAUCGGCCACACUGGAACUGAGACACGGGCCAGACUCCUACGGGAGGCAGCAGUAGGGAAUCUUCCGCAAUGGGCGAAAGCUUGACGGAGCAACGCCGCGUGAGUGAUGAAGGUCUUCGGAUCGUAAAACUCUGUUAUUAGGGAAGAACAAAUGUGUAAGUAACUAUGCACGUCUUGACGGUACCUAAUCAGAAAGCCACGGCUAACUACGU
rnacentral:rRNA from 1 species